rnacentral:rRNA from 1 species
AACGGCCGUACCAUGCUGAAUAUACCGGUUCUCGUUAGAUCACCGAAGUCAAGCAUCAUUGGGCGCGGUCAGUACUUAGGUUAGUGACCACCUGGGAACACCGCGUGCCGUU